CUAGACCCAGGGCAGCGGCAGAAAGCAUGAAGACCUGGUUUGGAUUCAAGAAACGUUCCCGAGCUCAGGUGCCUGGGUGGCUCAGGCAGCUAAGCGAACGACUCUCCAUUUCAGUUCGGGGUGUGAUCUCUGGGUUGUGGGAUCG